rnacentral:rRNA from 1 species
GAUGAACGCUGGCGGCGUGCCUAAUACAUGCAAGUCGAGCGAACGGGCCAUAAGCGGGCUUCUCUGAUGUUAACGGCGGGCGGGUCAGUAACACGUCGAUAACCUCCCUAUAAGACUAGGAUAACUUCGGGAAACCGGAACUAAUACCGACUUCUAUUUUGAACUGGAUGGUUCAAAAGUGAAAGACGGUCUUGCUGUCGGUUAUCGAUGUAUCCGCGCGGCGUUAGCUAGUUGGUAAGGUAACGGCUUACCAAGGCAACGAUGCGUAACCGAACUGAGAGGGUGAUCGGCGACACUGGAACUGAGACACGGUCCAGACUCCUACGGGAGGCAGCAGUAGGGAAUGUUCCGCAGUGGGCGAAAGCAUGACGGAGCAACGCAGCGUGUGUGAUGAAGGCCUUCGGAGAGUAAAACUCUGUUAUUAGGGAAGAACAUAUGUGUACGUAACUGUGGCCAGCUUGACGGUACCUAAUCAGAAAGCAACGGCUAACUACGUG